rnacentral:lncRNA from 12 species
ACAUGGCGACGUUACAAACUUCGGUACGUCUAUCCCUGAAAGAUGGAUGUAACGCUCCCUUAUUAAGCGAUGGAGAAGCCUGAACUACCCGAGACGUGUUUGACGGAGCGACUGCCGACGUGCGCCGGAGUCUUUGGCGCCACAAGUGCCCGCGGUGCCGGGAUGCGCGGGAGCAGCCGGCGGGGCCAACGCGGAACUGCCCGCGGCCAGACCCAAACUUUCCCGGCUGCGGCGCUGCCGCGGCGAGCACUCAGCUGCCGCGCCGCCCCCGGCAAGACGCCGAGGGACUUUCGGGAAGGAGGACGGCCCCGGGCACGCAGCCCCACAGAGCCGCGCUCAAAGUUCGGCCCGGGGCGCGGGAGGCCGCCUGCCGCCGCCCGGCUCCCCCGGCCCCCCCCCCCCCCCCCCCCCCCCCCCCCCCCCCCCCCCCCCCCCCCCCCCCCCCCCCCCCCCCCCCCCCCCCCCCCCCCCCCCCCC